UAAAAGUUUUAUCCUUGCUGGAUAUUCAUUUUAUGAUUAUUUUACAUGUAAGGUAUCCAUUUAUAAUAAACUCUAAAUGAGUUAUUAUUAUUUAUUGCAGUAAUAUAUUUUAUUUUCUUAAAUUAGUUUAGAAAUAGUAAUUCAUAAAUUUCCGGUUAAAGUCGUGCCAGCCGCCGCGGUUAUACGAAAGGAAAAAGUGAAUAUUCUUGGUUUAAUAGUUAAUUUAUUUUAUUUAUUUACACUAAUAAUUUUUAGGUGAAAUUUAUAAUUAUUAUAUAAUUAAUUUUUUAAUGAAGCUAUGAAAUUUAUAUAAAAAACAAGGAUUAGAUACCCUUUUAUUAUAAAUGUAACAAUUAACCUGGGUAGUAUUAGUUAUGUUCUUGAAACUCAAAGGAUUUGGCGGUAUUUUAGUCCUUUCAGAGGAAUCUGUUCCGUUAUCGACAACCCACGAAUAGAAGUACUUGAUUUUGUCUUACAGUUUGUAUACCUCCGUCAUAAGAAUAUCUUUUUAGAGUUAAUUUUCUUUAUAUAAUAAAUAUAAUAUGUCAGGUCAAGGUGCAAUUUAUAAUCAAGUGGAAAUGGAUUACAAUAAAUUUAUUUAUACGGAUUAAAUUAUUUAAUUUUUUAUGAAGGUGGAUUUGAUAGUAAUGUUAUUAUUUUAUUAAUUUGAUUAAGGCUCUAAAAUAUGCACACAUCGCCCGUCGCUCUCUUUAUUAAAAUGAGAUAAGUCGUAACAUAGUAGAUGUAUCGGAAGAUGUAUCUAGAAAGUA
rnacentral:ncRNA from 1 species